rnacentral:rRNA from 1 species
CGUUGAUUACGUCCCUGCCCUUUGUCGCUACUACCGAUUGAACGACCGCAGUGAGGUCUUCGGAUCGAGGUACGGCGACGUUCGCGUCGAUUUGUACAUUCGAGAAGAUGACCGAACUCGGCCGUUUAGAGGAAGUAAAAGUCGUAACAAGGUUUCCGUAGGUGAACCUGCGGAAGGAUCAUUA